rnacentral:lncRNA from 1 species
AAGAAGCUCAGGAUCUUCACUUACCUCUUACACAACUUGAGGAUGAAGGAUCCUAACGUGGAGAUAUGAAGAAAAGCUCUUCCAAAGCUCCAAGCUUCAAAACUUGGUUCUUUUGCUCAAAACCUUCACAAAUCACCAAAACUCUUAAAACUCUUGAAAGAUUUGAUGAAAAUCAUGGAAAACAUGAAAGUCAACGUGGGAGAGGCUGAAACUCACCUCUGGCUGCAAGUGGAGGAGAACUAACCUCCUUCCACCGACCCUUGGCCCUUUUAUAGGUGGCUGGCCAGACCACCUUCGGCAGCCGAACGUGAAGCCACAACCAUGCCAUGUUCGGCGGCCGAAAGUGCCCUUCGGCGGCCGAACCUUUGCAUUUCUCCCUUGUUGCUUUUCUUUCAAAACUCAAGUCUUUUAACACUUCAAAACAUGAAAACAAGUGAAACUACCUUGGAAAACAUAUGCAUUACCCUUCUCGAGGGUUCCAACACCCGAGAUUCCACCGGACUACAGGAAUUCCAAUGCCGGACUCGAGCCGGGUAUUACAUCAACCUGUUGUAGAGUUUUCCUCUGUGACUCGAUAAUCUCGUCUUUUUCUCUUUCUUAAAUUUAACUUUUUCUUUUCUCUUCCCCAAUCAAAGGUCAGGAUAGCCGAAAGCAAUGAUCGUUCUGUAUUUAAACUGUCGAGAACUCGACAAUGUUUGGACAGUAAAUGCAUUGAAAGAUUUGGUUACUAGUUACAAACCGAAC